GCAGCCGGCUGGUGAGGAUGGAGGUGGGUGUGUGCUGAGGAGGUGGCUGCGGUCGGGUGGGUUCUGGUGUCCUGGCGUAGCAGCGACUUCGCACGGGCCGAGAGGCGAAUGACCCAGGUGCUUGAAUCCGGAGACAAGGCUAAAGACAGCAGCUGACUCCAGAUGUGAAGGUGACCUGUUUGAUGGCAUCAGGAUGAGGUGACCAAGUGUCGACUGGACAAACAAAUGACAAAGAUUGGAAUUUCUGUUCUCUCUGGAUGCUGGGACUGGUCUUGACAGGUGUGAAUCCAGUCAAGUCGAAGUGUCUACUGCUGAGCCUCUGACUCCAGAUAUGAAGUUGGCCUGUGGGUGGCACCAGCCCAAAUCCAAAUAUGAAGUUAGCCUGUGGAUUGCAUGGUAUCAGAUUCUGGUUUCUGUUCUCAAAAGUAUGCUGGGGCUACUGACUGGCCUUUAACAGGUGUCAGAAUGCAGCUGCUGUGACUAUUGAACUGGGGUUCAUUGGGAGCAGCAGUGGAAGUUGGCUUGGGUCCUCAUGAUUGGCAGGGUACAAAAUGGAGCCUGCCAGUCGACAUCAGCUAUUUUUAUGCCUUAUGUAUGAGUAUGUCAAUUCACCAUGUAACACUGGGAUAAUAAAAUAAAUACUGCUCAGUAUUUCUCUGCUUAUCUAAAGUAGCAU